UAGAGAGGCCAGCUAUUUUGAGCCAGAUGAGGAACAAUGCGACAAAUAUUUCGAGUGCAAUAUUAAAGGAGAAAUUAAAGAACAUUUGUGUCCUGAUGGGUUUACUUUUGAUAUAACUCUGGAGAAGUGUGAUUACCCGGCCAAAGUAAACUGCAGUACACGUCCUCUACUCC